CCUACGUGUGGCAGCAGUGGGGAAUAUUGGUCAAUGGGCGCAAGCCUGACCCAGCCACGCCGCGUGCAGGAAGAAGGCCCUCGGGUUGUAAACUUCUUUUGUCAGGGACGAAGCACGUGACAGUACCUGACGAAUAAGCCUCGGCUAACUACGUGCCAGCAGCCGCGGUAAUACGUCGGUGGCAAGCGUUAUCCGGAUUUACUGGGUGUAAAGGGCGUGUAGGCGGGGAAGCAAGUCAGGUGUGAAAUUCCAGGGGUCAACCCGGGAACUGCAUUUGAAACUGGUUUUCUUGAGGGAUGGAGAGGCAGGCGGAAUUCCGGGUGUAGCGGUGAAAGGCGUAGAUAUACGGAGGAACACCAGUGGCGAAGGCAGCCUGCUGGACAUUAACUGACGCUGAGGCGCGAAGGCGUGGGGAGCAAACAGGAUUAGAUACCCUGGUAGUC
rnacentral:rRNA from 1 species